GGUAUUCAGGUAAGCGAGUUCCGGCGGUUGGAAAGGGCUACUCGUGGUUAUGGAGUCGCACUGGCAGCAGAGAUUUUAGCCACUAGAUCAAGUGCUUUAGGAAAAGUUCGGAACAUUUAAGGCCUAGACAAUCUUUGGAGCAUAUUUCGAGAAGAAAGAGGAGAAGAAUGAGGAGAAGAAUGAGGAGAACAAUAAGGAGAACAAUAAGGAGAAGAUGUCUGGGAGCAGAAGUCGAGAAUAAAGGAAGAAUUUAAGUUUAUGGGGGAGUUUGUUGGGAUAAACUUAAAUUUUAGAGAUUUAUUAUUUUAUUAGGUUUGGG
rnacentral:lncRNA from 1 species